UUAAUUGAAAUCAAUAAAUUGAUUUAUCACUGUUAAUGAUAAUUAAGAAAUUCUAAUUUCCAAUUAAA
rnacentral:tRNA from 1 species